CUACGCUGUUCUUGUCUUUACUCGCUCUUAAUCUCUUGAUUCAUGCUAAUUGAAGUCUGGGAAUAUUCAGGAAGUUCAGGAAGGUCAUUUGAAUAAUUUGCUCGGAAUGUGUUAAGUUGACAUGGUCCUUAAAAACAACUGCUCAACUAACCAAUAAUGUCAAUUCUGCUUCCUGAUAGGUGGCCAUAUCUGUUGACCUUACCCAUAAUCCUCUCUGAUGUCAUGUUGAGCUUUGAUGAGACAGCUAUUGUCUCCUACUGUUCCUAUCCUCUCUUGUAAAUCAUGUCUAAUGUUUUUGCAUGUUUGACAAUUUCCCUGCUGAAGAAACUGCAGUGACCAAAACGAGUGACUUACUUGUUUCUCUGUCUCUCCGUCUGUCUCUUUCUGUUCACAGAAAAGCAAGAACUUGUUUUGAAGGACAGCAAUGCUUCCAGGGGGAAAUCUCUGGCAUCCAAGAGACUGCCCGCCGUCUGAGCCUCGGCGAACCAUCCUGGGACGAGGACUCUGCCCCUUCAUCCCUGCGGUUGAUUGGUGCGGAUACUGAGUUGUUGGCCAGGCACAUGCAUGUUCAACGGACUCAGUUUUUACAUCACUCUUAACUUAUUUUGGUUUCUGCCUUGUUUCAAGGGCAAACAAAACAGGCAUGGCAUUUCAGGCUUCCAUAGGGCAGUCGUGGAAAGGCAGGAUGCUUCGAAAUAAGGAAGAAAAAAAAAGGAAAAACAAUGUACGAGUUGUCUUCAUUUCUUUGUCCACGUGUAAACUAUGAAAAUGAUGUCAGAUGCAAAAAUAAAGACGUAAAUAUCACAAAUAAACCGAUACAAUGACCAAUUAAAAAUGAAAAAGCCAAACCUUUAAAGAAUAAACACAAGAACACUUUGUACACUUGUUCAGCUGCUUCUAGUCAGAGCAUUUUGAGAUGCAGAGUCGAUGUCAUGUGAUCACUUUCCAUUAUAUAGGCAUUGAUUUUAUUGCACUAUUUAAAUGAAUAUGUAAAAAAAUAAUCUGCCUGUCUCAAUUGUAUGGCCAUGCAGCAGACGUUUGCUGGCCAUGUCUGUCGUCUGGUCGCUUCCUUUUUUUGUUCACUUCCCUCCUGUGUUUAUUUUUAUACCAUAUUUAUUGACACUUUGACUUGAGAAAUGUAUUAAAGCCAGUCGUUUAUCUGAA